rnacentral:rRNA from 1 species
GAUGAACGCUAGCUACAGGCUUAACACAUGCAAGUCGAGGGGCAGCAUGGUCUUAGCUUGCUAAGGCCGAUGGCGACCGGCGCCCGGGUGAGUAACACGUAUCCAACCUGCCGUCUACUCUUGGACAGCCUUCUGAAAGGAAGAUUAAUACAAGAUGGCAUCAUGAGUCCGCAUGUUCACAUGAUUAAAGGUAUUCCGGUAGACGAUGGGGAUGCGUUCCAUUAGAUAGUAGGCGGGGUAACGGCCCACCUAGUCUUCGAUGGAUAGGGGUUCUGAGAGGAAGGUCCCCCACAUUGGAACUGAGACACGGUCCAAACUCCUACGGGAGGCAGCAGUGAGGAAUAUUGGUCAAUGGGCGAGAGCCUGAACCAGCCAAGUAGCGUGAAGGAUGACUGCCCUAUGGGUUGUAAACUUCUUUUAUAAAGGAAUAAAGUCGGGUAUGGAUACCCGUUUGCAUGUACUUUAUGAAUAAGGAUCGGCUAACUCCGUGCCAGCAGCCGCGGUAAUACGGAGGAUCCGAGCGUUAUCCGGAUUUAUUGGGUUUAAAGGGAGCGUAGAUGGAUGUUUAAGUCAGUUGUGAAAGUUUGCGGCUCAACCGUAAAAUUGCAGUUGAUACUGGAUAUCUUGAGUGCAGUUGAGGCAGGCGGAAUUCGUGGUGUAGCGGUGAAAUGCUUAGAUAUCACGAAGAACUCCGAUUGCGAAGGCAGCCUGCUAAGCUGCAACUGACAUUGAGGCUCGAAAGUGUGGGUAUCAAACAGGAUUAGAUACCCUGGUAGUCCACACGGUAAACGAUGAAUACUCGCUGUUUGCGAUAUACUGCAAGCGGCCAAGCGAAAGCGUUAAGUAUUCCACCUGGGGAGUACGCCGGCAACGGUGAAACUCAAAGGAAUUGACGGGGGCCCGCACAAGCGGAGGAACAUGUGGUUUAAUUCGAUGAUACGCGAGGAACCUUACCCGGGCUUAAAUUGCAGAUGAAUUACGGUGAAAGCCGUAAGCCGCAAGGCAUCUGUGAAGGUGCUGCAUGGUUGUCGUCAGCUCGUGCCGUGAGGUGUCGGCUUAAGUGCCAUAACGAGCGCAACCCUUGUUGUCAGUUACUAACAGGUUCCGCUGAGGACUCUGACAAGACUGCCAUCGUAAGAUGUGAGGAAGGUGGGGAUGACGUCAAAUCAGCACGGCCCUUACGUCCGGGGCUACACACGUGUUACAAUGGGGGGUACAGAGGGCCGCUACCACGCGAGUGGAUGCCAAUCCCCAAAACCUCUCUCAGUUCGGACUGGAGUCUGCAACCCGACUCCACGAAGCUGGAUUCGCUAGUAAUCGCGCAUCAGCCACGGCGCGGUGAAUACGUUCCCGGGCCU